GCACAGCUGAUGAGUCCCAUACCAGGACGAAACGACCGUCCAAUGC
rnacentral:hammerhead_ribozyme from 1 species